rnacentral:rRNA from 1 species
UACGUAGGGGGCGAGCGUUGUCCGGAUUUACUGGGCGUAAAGGGUGAGUAGGCGGUUGUAUAUGUCAGAUGUAAAAGGCUAUGGCUUAACUAUAGUAAGCAUUUGAAACUGUACAACUUGAGUGCAGGAGAGGUAAGUGGAAUUCCUAGUGUAGCGGUGAAAUGCGUAGAUAUUAGGAGGAACACCAGUGGCGAAGGCGACUUACUGGACUGUAACUGACGCUGAGUCACGAAAGCGUGGGUAGCAAACA